UUGACGGGGGCCCGCACAAGCGGUGGAAGCAUGUGGUUUAUUUCGAUGCAACGCGAAAAAACCUUACCUACUCUUGACAUCCUGCGAAACUUGUGAGAGAAUCACUUGGUGCCUUCGGGAACGCAGAGACAGGUGCUGCAUGGCUGUCGUCAGCUCGUGUUGUGAAAUGUUGGGUUAAGUCCCGUAACGAGCGCAACCUUUGUCCUUAUUUGCCAGCGGGUAAUGCCGGGACUCUAAGGAGACUGCCGGUGACAAACCGGGAGAAGGUGGGGGACGACGUCAAGUCAUCAUGGCC
rnacentral:rRNA from 1 species